rnacentral:lncRNA from 1 species
CCAGACCCUAUUCUCCUGCCUCACUUCUGUAUAAGUCAAUACCAUCUUAAAACAAAUCUAACUUUAAAUAAAGGAAAAAAGAAAAUCAAUACUUACAGGGUGCCAAGCAUUUGCAGGUCAUUUGUAAUCAAUUUGUCCUGGAAUCCUGGAAUCCUGUCUUUAAUGGGUGUAUAUAUUACUAAGCUAUAACUGCAUAACAAACAAUCCCAAAACAUACUAGCUCAGGAUUGAGCUGGUUAGAAAUUUAGGCUGGGCUUAGCUGGGCCAUUCUUCUGGGCUCAGUUUGCCUCCUUCAGGUGUGAGUGGUCAGAUGCUGGUGAAUUAGGUGGCUCCGCUUCUGGGAGUGAGCUGUCUGUAAACUGAGGCACUUUGGCUUUCCUCAGCAUGCUACUUUAUUCUCCAGAAAGUUAAAAUGGGCUUGUUGUCAUAGAGAUGGAAGAAUUCUGAAAAAGAUAACAGAAGCAUUUAGGAACUUUAAACCUGGGCCCCAAACUGGCACACUAUGCCAGUGCAAAUAAGAGAUUCAAGUUUGG